rnacentral:tRNA from 2 species
GCGGGAAUAGCUCAGUUGAUAGAGCACGACCUUGCCAAGGUCGGGGUCGCGAGUUCGAGUCUCGUUUCCCGCUCCA